GACAGAGGGUGCAAACGUUGUUCGGAAUUACUGGGCGUAAAGGGCUCGUAGGCGGCCAACUAAGUCAGACGUGAAAUCCCUCAGCUUAACUGGGGAACUGCGUCUGAUACUGGAUGGCUUGGAUUCGGGAGAGGGAUGCGGAAUUCCAGGUGUAGCGGUGAAAUGCGUAGAUAUCUGGAGGAACACCGGUGGCGAAGGCGGCAUCCUGGACCGGCAUUGACGCUGAGGCGCGAAAGCCAGGGGAGCAAAGCAGG
rnacentral:rRNA from 1 species